rnacentral:lncRNA from 1 species
UGCCUUGCUUCAGGCUGGGUCCCUGCCAUGUGACAAUGGACACAGCGCUGAAGAACCAACUAUGAACAAGACAAAAGAUUGCUGCCCUCAUGGAACUUUCUGUCCAGAUGGAGAGACAGACAAUUAAACAGGACUGGAGCCCUUAUAAGAAGAUGGAGAGACACCAGAGAAAUGAAGACACGGCAAGAAGGUGGCCACCUGCAAGCCAA